rnacentral:rRNA from 1 species
ACGCUCGACACCUCGGGGCAGCAGUCGGGAAUAUUGCGCAAUGGAGGAAACUCUGACGCAGUGACGCCGCGUAUGGGAAGAAGGUUUUCGGAUUGUAAACCAUUUUAGACAAGGAAGAAACAAGACAGUACUUGUAGAAUAAGCUCCGGCUAACUACGUGCCCGCAGCCGCGGUAAUCUGAGCGGGCUGGCAAGGC